rnacentral:rRNA from 1 species
AGUGAACGCUGGCGGUAGGCCUAACACAUGCAAGUCGAACGGCAGCACAGUAAGAGCUUGCUCUUACGGGUGGCGAGUGGCGGACGGGUGAGGAAUACAUCGGAAUCUACUUUUUCGUGGGGGAUAACGUAGGGAAACUUACGCUAAUACCGCAUACGACCUACGGGUGAAAGCAGGGGAUCUUCGGACCUUGCGCGAUUGAAUGAGCCGAUGUCGGAUUAGCUAGUUGGCGGGGUAAAGGCCCACCAAGGCGACGAUCCGUAGCUGGUCUGAGAGGAUGGUCAGCCACACUGGAACUGAGACACGGUCCCGACUCCUACGGGAGGCAGCAGUGGGGAAUAUUGGACAAUGGGCGCAAGCCUGAUCCAGCCAUACCGCGUGGGUGAAAAAGGCCUUCGGGUUGUAAAGCCCUUUUGUUGGGAAAGAAAAGCAGCAGGUUAAUACCCCGCUGUUCUGACGGUACCCAAAGAAUAAGCACCGGCUAACUUCGUG